rnacentral:rRNA from 1 species
AACGAACGCUGGCGGCAUGCCUAACACAUGCAAGUCGAACGAGACCUUCGGGUCUAGUGGCGCACGGGUGCGUAACGCGUGGGAAUCUGCCCUUGGGUUCGGAAUAACAGUUGGAAACGACUGCUAAUACCGGAUGAUGACGUAAGUCCAAAGAUUUAUCGCCCAGGGAUGAGCCCGCGUAGGAUUAGCUAGUUGGUGGGGUAAAGGCCUACCAAGGCGACGAUCCUUAGCUGGUCUGAGAGGAUGAUCAGCCACACUGGGACUGAGACACGGCCCAGACACCUACGGGAGGCGGCGGUGGGGAAUAUUGGACAAUGGGCGAAAGCCUGGUCCAGCAAUGCCGCGUGAGUGAUGAAGGCCUUAGGAUUGUAAAGCUCUUUUACCCGGGAUGUUAAUGACAGUACCGGGAGAAUAAGCCCCGGCUAACUCCGUG